AGUCGCAGUUAAAGCGUAGCGGUAAUGCUAAUAAAAAACAAUUGACCGAUGAAAAACACGGACACAGAAGUGCCAAAGAAGUUGGAAUAACGAGGAGUCCGACACCGUCAAGAUGGUGACAUCCGGAGCCACGACAUUGAGCUUCAAAACCACCCUUAAAGAAACCUACGGACCACGGAUGUCUGCAGAGGACAAGAAAGGGGCCGCUCGGCUCGAUUGAGGCCACGCGGAGGUAAAGG